rnacentral:lncRNA from 1 species
AUGUGCAGAGGAAAUAUGCAAGGAAGGCUAAAGAAACAAACACAGAGCCAGAGGAAAGUCAGCUUGUCUCUGGACCAGUGUGGACCAGUCCACAGUAUCCCUGACUGCUCAACAUGUCAAGUGAAGACUUCAGCAGAGUUCAAAUUUGGUGUGAGAUGGAUGGCAAGAAGUUACACAUUGAAUAUCACUGUAGACAUGCUGGAAAAUAUCCAAGGCAAAUUUCAUUGCCUUCAAAAUUCCCACAUUCUCCCUUGCCUUGCCUUUCUACAGGACAUUUUAUUACAUGGAGCAGAAGAUGGUCUUUGCGACUGA